AUGGUGGCCAAAUUCCCAGAGGAGUACUAUUUGCCAAGCUGUAGCCUAGGUGAAAGGAGCUGGAGCCGCCGGAGUAAUGGAGGGGAAAGUUCCAGUCGCAGCGCUGAGAAGCGAUCAGCUGAAGAAGCAGCUGCCGACCUCCCAACAAAGCCUACAAAGAUCUCCAAGUUUGGAUUUGCCAUAGGUAGUCAGACAACAAAGAAAGCAUCAGCCAUAUCCAUCAAACUUGGAUCAAGUAAGCCUAAAGAAACUGUUUCAACUCUUGCUCCAAAAACUCUUUCAGUAGCAGCAGCUUUAAUGAAGAUGAAGAUAGUGAACCAGAGGAAAUGCCUCCAGAAGCAAAGAUGAGGAUGAAGAAUAUUGGAAGGGAUACACCAACAUCAGCUGGACCAAACUCCUUCAAUAAAGGAAAGCAUGGGUUUUCUGAUAACCAGAAGCUGUGGGAGCGAAAUAUAAAAUCUCAUCUUGGAAAUGUCCAUGACCAAGACAAUUAAAUGAUGUUUUGAAAUUGGGGUGUGGGGUGGGUGUAAAGUUAAAAGGAACAGUUUCCUUUUUUAAAGAAUGGUAUAAGACUAUCUUUGGAGCCGCUUUUUUUUCUUUUUCUUUUUUUUAAAAGAUUGAGUGGUACACUAAUAAAUGAGAGUUUGAAAUUAGAGGUAAUUUAUGUUUUAUAUACAGAUUUCAAGACAUUUGCUAAUUUUGUAGUUUCAUGUGAUUAGUUUCCAAAGGUUACAGAUAAUAAAGAAAUCAGAAAUGGUACCUUUUUAAGAAUUGCAUAUUUUUUUAGACACAACUAUUAGCACAUUAAGAGGGAAGCAAAAAGUUAUUGUCUAUUUAAAACUGCAAGCAGUUACUCUCUUAACUCCCUUAUUACCCAAACUUGUCUGGCUCCCAGGAACAGCCUUAUAGAGAGAGGGAUUAUUGUAUUGGGAGGAAAAUGUUACUGAACUAUUCACUGAAAGUAAAUUUAGAUAAAAUACAGCUUUUUUCCUUAUGGGCAUUUGUUUUGUUUCAAGUCAUCAUAAACUAGGUAUUGCAUUGCUAUCAGUGGAUACAGAUGCUUAGCUCUUAAAAGAUUUUUUAUUUUUUAAUGUAAACUGUUGAGUAUUUGAAAUAGCCCACUUCACCUUAAUGGGUCUUGUCUAUCUUCAUUAGUCUUCAAAGAAAAACCAUUUGCUACCAAAGUAAAUCAGUAUUUUGAAUGUGCUUCUCUUGUUUUUUGUUUAUUAGCUAGUUCCUGUAAGCAUUUCCACCAGAACUUGAGGCAAAUCAUAAGGAAGCUGUUUCUUUUAAAACAAACCACCACCAAAAAUUUAAAUGUACAUAUUGCUUAAAUAUUUGGCUGUUUUUAGUUUUUAAAAGGUAUAAACACCAAAAAAAUAAUAAUAAUAACAUUGUAUGAAGCUGGAAAACAAGAAGAUGCACUUUCUGUAGCCUUGUCUAAGGAUUUAAAUUACUAACUUGUGAACUCCAAUUUGAAUUGAACUUAACUAUCGGCUUU